rnacentral:rRNA from 1 species
UACAGAGGUCUCAAGCGUUGUUCGGAUUCAUUGGGCGUAAAGGGUGCGUAGGCGGCGCGGUAAGUCGGGUGUGAAAUCUCGGAGCUUAACUCCGAAACUGCAUUCGAUACUGCCGUGCUUGAGGACUGGAGAGGAGACUGGAAUUUACGGUGUAGCAGUGAAAUGCGUAGAGAUCGUAAGGAAGACCAGUGGCGAAGGCGGGUCUCUGGGCCGAUACUGACGCUGAGGUGCGAAAGCGUGGGGAGCAAACAGG